AGAGUGUAAAGGCAAAAGGGCUUGAUUGCAAGACAUACAGGUCGAGCAAGGAUGAAAAUCGGACUUAGUGAUCCGGUGGUUCUGCGUGGAAGGGCCAUCGCUCAACGGAUAAAAGCUACCCUGGGGAUAACAGGCUUAUCUCCCCCAAGAGUCCACAGCGACGGGGAGGUUUGGCACCUCGAUGUCGGCUCAUCACAUCCUGGGGCUGUAGUAGGUCCCAAGGGUUGGGCUGUUCGCCCAUUAAAGUGGUACGCGAGCUGGGUUCAGAACGUCGUGAGACAGUUCGGUCCCUAUCCGUCGCAGGCGUAGGAAAUUUG
rnacentral:rRNA from 1 species